UGGGGAAUUUUGGACAAUGGGCGCAAGCCUGAUCCAGCCAUGCCGCGUGCGGGAAGAAGGCCUUCGGGUUGUAAACCGCUUUGUCAGGGAAGAAAUCCUUUGGGCUAAUACCCUGAAGGGAUGACGGUACCUGAAGAAUAAGCACCGGCUAACUACGUGCCAGCAGCCGCGGUAAUACGUAGGGUGCAAGCGUUAAUCGGAAUUACUGGGCGUAAAGCGUGCGCAGGCGGUUGUGCAAGACAGGUGUGAAAUCCCCGGGCUUAACCUGGGAACUGCACUUGUGACUGCACGGCUGGAGUGUGGCAGAGGGGGAUGGAAUUCCGCGUGUAGCAGUGAAAUGCGUAGAUAUGCGGAGGAACACCGAUGGCGAAGGCAAUCCCCUGGGCCUGCACUGACGCUCAUGCACGAAAGCGUGGGGAGCAAACAGGAUUAGAUACCCUGGUA
rnacentral:rRNA from 1 species